ACAGAGGGUGCAAGCGUUGUUCGGAAUUAUUGGGCGUAAAGCGCGUGUAGGCGGUCCCGCAAGUCGGAUGUGAAAGCCCUCGGCUUAACCGAGGAAGUGCGUUCGAAACUACGAGACUUGAGUGCCGGAGAGGGUGGCGGAAUUCCCGGUGUAGAGGUGAAAUUCGUAGAUAUCGGGAGGAACACCAGUGGCGAAGGCGGCCACCUGGACGGUAACUGACGCUGAGACGCGAAAGCGUGGGGAGCAAACAGGAUUAGAUACCCUGGUAGUCCACGCUGUAAACGAUGAGUGCUAGGUGUUGUGGGUGUUGACCCCCGCAGUGCCGCAGCUAACGCAUUAAGCACUCCGCCUGGGAAGUACGGCCGCAAGGCUA
rnacentral:rRNA from 1 species